GCUUACACAUGCAAGUCGAACGGGAAUCCCGGGGGUUCGCUCCCGGGUGAGAGUGGCGAACGGGUGAGUAAUGCGUGACCGACCUGCCCCAUACACCGGAAUAGCUCCUGGAAACGGGUGGUAAUGCCGGAUGCUCCGGUUGGAUGCAUGUCCUUCCGGGAAAGAUUCCAUCGGUAUGGGAUGGGGUCGCGUCCUAUCAGCUUGAUGGCGGGGUAACGGCCCACCAUGGCUUCGACGGGUAGCCGGCCUGAGAGGGCGACCGGCCACAUUGGGACUGAGAUACGGCCCAGACUCCUACGGGAGGCAGCAGUGGGGAAUAUUGCACAAUGGGCGCAAGCCUGAUGCAGCGACGCCGCGUGCGGGAUGGAGGCCUUCGGGUUGUAAACCGCUUUUGAUCGGGAGCAAGCCCUUCGGGGUGAGUGUACCUUUCGAAUAAGCACCGGCUAC
rnacentral:rRNA from 1 species